rnacentral:rRNA from 2 species
UAACGACUCUCGGCAACGGAUAUCUUGGCUCUCGCAUCGAUGAAGAACGUAGCGAAAUGCGAUACUUGGUGUGAAUUGCAGAAUCCCGUGAACCAUCGAGUCUUUGAACGCAAGUUGCGCCCCAAGCUGUUAGGCUGAGGGCACGUCUGCCUGGGUGUCACG